rnacentral:rRNA from 1 species
GACGAGUGGCGGACGGGUGAGUAAUGCUUGGGAACUUGCCUUUGCGAGGGGGAUAACAGUUGGAAACGACUGCUAAUACCGCAUAAUGUCUUCGGACCAAACGGGGCUUCGGCUCCGGCGCAAAGAGAGGCCCAAGUGAGAUUAGCUAGUUGGUAAGGUAACGGCUUACCAAGGCGACGAUCUCUAGCUGUUCUGAGAGGAAGAUCAGCCACACUGGGACUGAGACACGGCCCAGACUCCUACGGGAGGCAGCAGUGGGGAAUAUUGCACAAUGGGGGAAACCCUGAUGCAGCCAUGCCGCGUGUGUGAAGAAGGCCUUCGGGUUGUAAAGCACUUUCAGUUGUGAGGAAAAGUUAGUAGUUAAUACCUGCUAGCCGUGACGUUAACAACAGAAGAAGCACCGGCUAACUCCGUGCCAGCAGCCGCGGUAAUACGGAGGGUGCGAGCGUUAAUCGGAAUUA